rnacentral:rRNA from 1 species
GAUGAACGCUGGCGGCGUGCUUAACACAUGCAAGUCGAACGAUGAAGGGGUGCUUGCACCUUGGAUUAGUGGCGAACGGGUGAGUAACACGUGAGCAACCUGCCCCUGACUCUGGGAUAAGCGCUGGAAACGGCGUCUAAUACUGGAUACGAGCAACGGCCGCAUGGCCAGUUGUUGGAAAGAUUUUUUGGUUGGGGAUGGGCUCGCGGCCUAUCAGCUUGUUGGUGAGGUAAUGGCUCACCAAGGCGUCGACGGGUAGCCGGCCUGAGAGGGUGACCGGCCACACUGGGACUGAGACACGGCCCAGACUCCUACGGGAGGCAGCAGUGGGGAAUAUUGCACAAUGGGCGGAAGCCUGAUGCAGCAACGCCGCGUGAGGGAUGACGGCCUUCGGGUUGUAAACCUCUUUUAGCAGGGAAGAAGCGAAAGUGACGGUACCUGCAGAAAAAGCGCCGGCUAACUACGUGCCAGCAGCCGCCGUAACAC